UUAAAAGCAAAGAUAGAGCCAGUAUAGAAGUGUUAAACUGUUAAGCGAGCUAGGGUAUGGUGAAAGCCUGGUACAGAUACGCUUUUAGAAUAUCACUCUUGAGCUUUCAUUAUGAAAGUAGUAGUAAUGAACGGUUAUUCACGUUACGAAUGCUAAGUGGAUUUGACAGGUAUGUCAAAUUUAUAAGGGUGGUACCGCGAGCCUUCUCGUCCCUUUU
rnacentral:ncRNA from 1 species